rnacentral:rRNA from 1 species
UCAGAUUGAACGCUGGCGGCAGACCUAACACAUGCAAGUCGAGCGGUAGAGAGGUGCUUGCAUCUCUUGAGAGCGGCGGACGGGUGAGUAAUGCCUAGGAAUCUGCCUAGUGGUGGGGGGAUAACGUUCGGAAACGGACGCUAAUACCGCAUACGUCCUACGGGAGAAAGCGGGGGAUCUUCGGACCUCGCGCCAUUAGAUGAGCCUAGGUCGGAUUAGCUAGUUGGUGAGGUAAUGGCUCACCAAGGCGACGAUCCGUAACUGGUCUGAGAGGAUGAUCAGUCACACUGGAACUGAGACACGGUCCAGACUCCUACGGGAGGCAGCAGUGGGGAAUAUUGGACAAUGGGCGAAAGCCUGAUCCAGCCAUGCCGCGUGUGUGAAGAAGGUCUUCGGAUUGUAAAGCACUUUAAGUUGGGAGGAAGGGUAGUAACCUAAUACGUUGCUACUUUGACGUUACCGACAGAAUAAGCACCGGCUAACUUCGUG